AUUUCUGGCCCUUCGCCAUUUUCCCAAGGACUUCCUCCAACCGGCUAUUUUGUACUGGGCUUCCCAACAAUAUACACACAUACCAAGAGUAAACUCCUUUACAAAAAAUUCUGAAGGAUUUGGAGACAGAGCAAGAGUAAUACACUUGCAGCCUCUGUUGCAGGGUGAUUGCCCCUUUGCAACAACAUCCAUAGAAGACCACUGUCUCUCAACCUGCGUGUUUGCUGUACACAUAUUAAUGGAAACUCAGAAGUACCGAUCUAGAGUCAGAAGAUGGAGGGAAUUUCCUUCACCAGACCUCUCAAGGAAAACGCUGUGCCUGCUGGAAGGAGG
ensembl:lncRNA